GGAUGAGCCCAAGUCGGAACAGCUAGUUGGUGAGGUAACGGCUCACCAAGGCAACGAUGCAUAGCCGACCUGAGAGGGUGAUCGGCCACACUGGGACUGAGACACGGCCCAGACUCCUACGGGAGGCAGCAGUGGGGAAUAUUGCACAAUGGGCGAAAGCCUGACGCAGCAACGCCGCGUGUGUGAUGAAGGUCUUCGGAUUGUAAAGCACUUUCGACCGGGACGAAAACCCUCUGGCUAACAUCCAGGGGCUUGACGGUACCGGGAGAAGAUUUUUUUUUUUAACUCUGUGCCAGCAGCCGCGGUAAUA
rnacentral:rRNA from 1 species